rnacentral:rRNA from 1 species
AUGCUGACUCGGGGACGCUUCGUAUGUCAUGUGCACUGCCUUGUACAUGAUGGUGUUGUACGAUCGAGCCCGUGUAGGCCCCACCAUGAAAACUUCGGACGAAAUCUCUAUCAUAUGUUUGUUCCGUCUUAUUUUGCAAGCCAAUCCUUGUUUUGUUUUUUUAGUUGUGGUAUUCGAGUUGCUUCGAAGUCAAAUGUGGAUUCCAUACCUUUCCUAAGUGGUGUUCUCACACUCCUAUGUGAAUACCAAUCCUUCUUCAUCAUUGAGAUUGUCAUGUCAAUUCUUUUCAACUGGUGUGCUUCUCUUCUAGUGGAUCCAAUCUUGUCAACAUCCGCAAGAUCAAGUAUCAGUUCUUCUCAGUGUUUGUUUCAUCCAUCUCCAAGUUGCCUUUGUUUUCCCGCCCACCCACCCCUUUUCUUCGAGGACUCAGAUAUCUUAAUCAAGUAUCCUUUUAUUCAUGUGAAGUCUCUCCAUUCUUUUCCUUCAUGUUCUUACCCGGUGAUUCUCAUGAAAAUUCUAACGGAGCUUCAGGUUCGUCAAUCUUCACUCGUUUUCUUCUCCGGUGGAUUCAAGUCAAGCUUUGUUGAUCAUAUCCCUUAA